rnacentral:rRNA from 1 species
CCGGCUAACUCUGUGCCAGCAGCCGCGGUAAUACAGAGGGUGCGAGCGUUAAUCGGAAUUACUGGGCGUAAAGGGCGCGUAGGCGGUUAUUUAAGUUAGAUGUGAAAUCCCUGGGCUUAACCUAGGAACUGCAUCUAAAACUGGAUAGCUAGAGUGCAGUAGAGGGUAGUGGAAUUUCCGGUGUAGCGGUGAAAUGCGUAGAUAUCGGAAGGAACACCAGUGGCGAAGGCGGCUACCUGGACUGACACUGACGCUGAGGCGCGAGAGCGUGGGGAGCAAACAGGAUUAGAUANCCCUGGUAGUCCACGCUGUAAACGAUGAGAACUAGAUGUUGGUAGGCUUGACCUAUUAGUAUCGAAGCUAACGCGAUAAGUUCUCCGCCUGGGGAGUACGGCCGCAUGGUUAAAACUCAAAGGAAUUGACGGGGGCCCGCACAAGCGGUGGAGCAUGUGGUUUAAUUCGAUGCAACGCGAAGAACCUUACCUACCCUUGACAUCCUAAGAAUUUUGUAGAGAUAUAGAAGUGCCGAAAGGAGCUUAGAGACAGGUGCUGCA